CAAAUGGGGUGCUGUUUUGAACCAGGUCAAAAUGGCUGAGAAAACACCCAUGAACCUGAUCUGGAUAAUGCCAGCGUAGGAAUGAUCAAAUU
rnacentral:ncRNA from 1 species